rnacentral:rRNA from 1 species
GCGACUUAUAUUCUGUAGCAAGGUUAACCGAAUAGGGGAGCCGAAGGGAAACCGAGUCUUAACUGGGCGUUAAGUUGCAGGGUAUAGACCCGAAACCCGGUGAUCUAGCCAUGGGCAGGUUGAAGGUUGGGUAACACUAACUGGAGGACCGAACCGACUAAUGUUGAAAAAUUAGCGGAUGACUUGUGGCUGGGGGUGAAAGGCCAAUCAAACCGGGAGAUAGCUGGUUCUCCCCGAAAGCUAUUUAGGUAGCGCCUCGUGAAUUCAUCUCCGGGGGUAGAGCACUGUUUCGGCAAGGGGGUCAUCCCGACUUACCAACCCGAUGCAAACUGCGAAUACCGGAGAAUGUUAUCACGGGAGACACACGGCGGGUGCUAACGUCCGUCGUGAAGAGGGAAACAACCCAGACCGCCAGCUAAGGUCCCAAAGUCAUGGUUAAGUGGGAAACGAUGUGGGAAGGCCCAGACAGCCAGGAUGUUGGCUUAGAAGCAGCCAUCAUUUAAAGAAAGCGUAAUAGCUCACUGGUCGAGUCGGCCUGCGCGGAAGAUGUAACGGGGCUAAACCAUGCACCGAAGCUGCGGCAGCGACACUAUGUGUUGUUGGGUAGGGGAGCGUUCUGUAAGCCUGUGAAGGUGUACUGUGAGGUAUGCUGGAGGUAUCAGAAGUGCGAAUGCUGACAUAAGUAACGAUAAAGCGGGUGAAAAGCCCGCUCGCCGGAAGACCAAGGGUUCCUGUCCAACGUUAAUCGGGGCAGGGUGAGUCGACCCCUAAGGCGAGGCCGAAAGGCGUAGUCGAUGGGAAACAGGUUAAUAUUCCUGUACUUGGUGUUACUGCGAAGGGGGGACGGAGAAGGCUAUGUUGGCCGGGCGACGGUUGUCCCGGUUUAAGCGUGUAGGCUGGUUUUC